rnacentral:lncRNA from 1 species
UUUUUUUUAAUCUGGCGACUGAACCCAGGGUACUUUACCACUGAGAUACAUUCCCAAAAUCUUUUAUUUUGAAACAGGGUCUUGCUAAGUUGUUUAGGGAUUGCUAAAUUGCAGAGGCUGGCCCCAAACUUGCAAUCCUCCUGCCUCAGGCUCCCAAGCUGCUGGGAUUAUAGGCAUGCUCCACCACACCUUGCUCAGUUUCAAUUCUUGUUGUUCAGAUAUCCCCCCACUUCACCUCAUGGCUACUUGGGCCCAAUCCUGAUCUCCAGGAAGGCUCCCAGAUUACAUAAUAGAAAUUAAAAAUAAAACAACAUGAAUAGGUGUUCCAUUUUAGGCAGGUCAAGCCUGAGUUUUAAUUCCUUUCUCUCCAGAUAUAAGGCCCUCAGAACCACUAAAAUGACAUGUGGUGAGCUAUAUAUUACCACAAUUUCCUUAUCACUCCACUCUAUUCUAAGUGGGAGUCUCUGAAGCCAAUUUGUUACAGAAAAAGAAUACAGCUAGGUCAUGAGAAUAUAGAGAUAAGUGCCGCAGUCUGGCUGGUCUUGUAUCAGGGGAAUGCUUUUUGUUCCAAAACCGAGAGGAUGAUUGAACUCAUUGUUGGUGACGAUGGUAUCAGGAAUAGGGACAAAGAUGACUAUGUGUAAGACCAGGAGGAAGAAGAGGAAGUUUGGAACUAUUACCUUAGGAUUGGGACAUGACCUGAGAAUUGAUGUCUAUCCAGAAGAGAUAACUAGAAGAAUAUGAUGAAGACCACGAAGAGCUGUAUCCUGUCACCCACUCUAUUUCCCCACUCCCUCCACCGCAGUUAACCUGCCCCGAUGCCAAAAGAGCUUUACAGUCGCAACUUUCUUCCUACCUUACAGCUGGCCAACAUAGUCCAUAUAAUUUGCCAAAUGUGCCCGACUCUUUAUGUAUGAAGUAGGGGGAAUGAGCUCCAAACACCAAGAAGCCUUGAAACUCUUCUAUGAAUUGGACAAAGAAUCUAUUUAUGUGGUGUGCUAAGAAUCAAGGAGCCACAAACAGCACAGCCUGGUGCCACUGGAUGGAGUGGCUCAGGAGUAAAAGGUGAGAAUAAGAAGACAAUGGGGAAGGGGGGUGGCAAGGAAAGAAGGGAACUUUUUAAUAGUGGCAUCCCUUCCCCACACUGCCAGGUACUUGAAAGUUGAACUUCUCUAUAUUUUGAGGGGAAGGGAGCACAAUGAAGAGAGAUGGGCAUUGUGUGGAGAAAGGAGAUAAAAUCAUGAAGGCUGGAGCUGGCUUCCUCAGAGGAAACUGAGCAGACAUAUGGCAGUCAUCAGAAACCACUAAUGUUGAUACUUUCAGUUUACCUAAGAGUAAGGGGUAUAGGUAACAGAUAUUUAGUGCUUGAUUUCCCUGUAAUGUAAGUCUUGAACAAGUAUAAUUUGAGUAAUUUGACUAAGUCUCAAAGACCCUCACAGACAGGAAUAAAAGACCACAGUACAUAGUAGAUGUUUGGAACCUCAGAGCACAAACAAUGUCAAAACAAAUGUUUAGUAUUGAUAGACAAAAAUGCCAGGAGGGAAUCUUCAACUAACAGGAGCAACUGGCCAUGCCUCACUCCCAAAGUCUGGAGUUGCUUCUCCACCUUCUGUAUAGUCCUUUUUCUUCUGGAGAAAGGCAGAAGACAUAAACAUCUUUGAUAGAUCACAGUGAACCUCAUGUCCUGACCACUUUUCCUAUUCUGGCAUUUUAUCACAGUGGAAGGAGGAAGGCUUAGAUAACAUCUCUGCCGUUUACUGUCUAAUCUUGGGCAGGUCUCAACCUCUUUGAGCUUCUCUUUCCCCCUAGAUUAGAGAACAUGUAUCUGAAAAUAUUUUAUAAAUUAAAUCACUAAACAGAUAUUUGCUUUUUUAUUUAGCUUCUAAUUUGCCUUCCUUUCCCUGGGUGCUGAUAUGGUUAAUGCCUUGUCUGCUAGUCCUGAUCUCCCUAAGCAUUAGAGAAUUGUCUUAAUAGUCAGCAGGAGUACUAUUUCCUUACCAAGUCUUGGUGAAUUUGACCCCUACUUCUAGUAUCCAAGGAAGAAGAGGUAGUCUGUAGGCCAAUAAAGGUCUUACCUAGCUAUUUAGUAGCAAUUGCUUACAGCUUAGUAGUGCUUUACAGUUUAUAAAAUGUAUUUAUUUCCUUAUGUUUUCCUACAACAGUGGCUUUUAAACAGUGGUUUUUUGACCAGUUACUGGGUUUUAUAAUGAAUGGGUCAUGCCCAGCAUUACUUUAAAAUGAAAUAAAAGAAAAUAAUAAAGCACAUGGAGAAUAGUAAAGGAAAGCACUCCUUUAUGGAACUUUUAAGUUGUGUGUGUGUGUGUGU